rnacentral:rRNA from 1 species
UACGAAGGGUGCAAACGUUGCUCGGAAUUACUGGGCGUAAAGCGCGUGUAGGUGGUCACGCAAGUCAGGUGUGAAAGCCCAGGGCUCAACCCUGGAAGUGCACAUGAUACUACGUGGCUGGAGUACUGAAGAGGAGAGCGGAAUUCCCGGUGUAGAGGUGAAAUUCGUAGAUAUCGGGAGGAACACCAGUGGCGAAGGCGGCUCUCUGGGCAGAUACUGACACUGAGACGCGAAAGCGUGGGUAGCAAACAGG